AAAGUAGCUUGCUACUUUGCUGACGAGCGGCGGACGGGUGAGUAAUGCCUAGGGAACUGCCCAGUCGAGGGGGAUAACAGUUGGAAACGACUGCUAAUACCGCAUACGCCCUACGGGGGAAAAGAGGGGAUCUUCGGACCUUCUGCGAUUGGAUGUACCUAGGUGGGAUUAGCUAGUAGGUGAGGUAAUGGCUCACCUAGGCGACGAUCCCUAGCUGUUCUGAGAGGAUGAUCAGCCACACUGGGACUGAGACACGGCCCAGACUCCUACGGGAGGCAGCAGUGGGGAAUAUUGCACAAUGGGCGCAAGCCUGAUGCAGCCAUGCCGCGUGUGUGAAGAAGGCCUUCGGGUUGUAAAGCACUUUCAGCGAGGAGGAAAGGUUAACGGUUAAUACCCGUUAGCUGUGACGUUACUCGCAGAAGAAGCACCGGCUAACUUCGUGCCAGCAGCCGCGGUAAUACGAGGGGUGCAAGCGUUAAUCGGAAUUACUGGGCGUAAAGCGUACGCAGGCGGUUGAUUA
rnacentral:rRNA from 1 species